UACGGAAGGUGCAAGCGUUGUUCGGAAUGACUGGGCGUAAAGCGCACGUAGGCGGCCCCGUAAGUCGGGUGUGAAAGCCCCGGGCUCAACCUGGGAAUAGCACCCGAAACUACGAGGCUUGAAUGCUUGAGAGGUUGGUGGAAUUCCAGGUGUAGGAGUGAAAUCCGUAGAUAUCUGGAGGAACACCGGAGGCGAAGGCGGCCAACUGGCGAUGCAUUGACGCUGAGGUGCGAAAGCGUGGGGAGCAAACAGG
rnacentral:misc_RNA from 1 species